CUUUUCACUGGUGAAAUGAAACAUGACUGUGAAUCAGAGGAAAGAAGAAAAUCCUAACAGAGUCUUCUAAUUCCUUUUGGAUAGCCAGGCCAUUUCUUUUGCCAGGAAGGCUUGCCCUCAUGCAUGUCCAUCCACAAAACCCAGAAAGCCAGAUCCAGUCAAUAAGGUGGACCAGAAGAUCAGGAGUCUUUGGGUUCUUGAAAGCCCAAGAGGAGUGCUUGCAGGAGAGCCCAGAAACACUGUGUUGGAAUCACACAGCACAUGUUCAAGGCAGGCAGGUGGCAGGUUCAAAGUGGAGAGAAGAAAUAGCUCCUUUAUGUAAUGCACAGUUAAGCUCUGGAGUACCUUUUCUCAGGAUUUAAUGGGUGCUGGAACUUCAUGUGAGUUUCAGAACUAAUCCAGUACAAUCCUGGAAGAAGCAAACAUCAGAAGCUACAUGAUGCAGCUCUGCUGCUGUAUUGUACAGGAAGUUCUUAAGCCAAAACUCUCUGGAGACUGGAAGAAUAUACAGGGCAGAAGUUUCUAUAUGAUAAUCCUGUUCUCUGCUCUUACAAAAGUACCACUGUUGGCCACUGUCAGAGAGAGGACUUGCUACACAGAAUGGAUGCCUCUGCUGUUGCUGGUUUUACAUAAUCUUACAUAAUGCAGGAUGUGACUAGAGUCUUCUAGGUUUACCUGCUUCCACACAGACAAACCCCACCUUCAGGAAAUAGAGGCUUUUCCUAAAGAGACUUUUAAUGACAUCAGCUUUUAAUGACACUGGAUCCCUAUAUCUCAUUCCAGAGAUGGGGCUUCCAUCUUCACCCAUUUAUCCUUUAUAUAAUUUUGGAUGAUCUUUGUGUCAUACCAGAGAUCAGGUCUUUAUUAUAAUGCAUGCUACAGUACCUUAUUUAAAAAAAAAAAAAAAAGAGGAGAAAAGGAGUUGUUCUUCAGAAGAACUAAUUGCUGAAAAAAGAAGAUAAACAGGACAAGAGACACAGCAGAACUGAGAGGGAGCACAAGUUGAGGAAAAGUUUGUCCCAUUGGAAUUGCUAAAAAACCAGUUCACAUCUCUCAACUCCCAAAUAAUGCCACAUAAACCUCACAUAAGCCAACUGGUCCAGUCCCAGGCUCAUUUUAAGCCCUACCUCAGAACACUACUUUUUUCUAUUUUAUUUAAAAGUGCUUACUGAUUUUAUAGCUGAGUGCUCUUUCCUCUGGUGAAAAGCAGUGCUGUCUGAUACAGGACAACAGCUCAGCUUUUGGUGGUGGUUAUUGCUCUGCAUUACUGUGACCAUUUUCUUCCCUUUUGCAAUGCCAUUAAGGACUGAAAGGGGUGAACAGUUAGAGGAUAAUACACCAUUAGGGACCAGCCCUAGCUGCACAAUACAUUUCAAGUACACCGAUAUUCACCUUCCAGUUUCAUCUGUAGUCCAUGCUCUGUAAAAGAAUACCAGCACUGAUGCAACUGAGGCUUGCCCAGACACAAAUUCUAUUGGAAGCAGUGACAUGAGCAGACCACCGUGAUUUUAGCAGAACCAGGAUUUCAUAUUCCAACUUCCCAAUAUGUUGUCUUGUGUCAUAUUUGAGCAUGGAACUUGAAUAACACCGUAUGACAUAAAAUACUCUGCAUACCAACAGAUUUGUGUUGGACUUGAUCUAGUCAUUCUGACUUCUUUAUUCAUAUGGUUGAGCUGUGCAAGGAAUAAAUAUCUCUGGUACCAGAUUUAGAAAGAGUGUAUUUUAUUGCAGACAAGAAGAUAUUAUCUGCUCUGGUGGCAGUAUGGGGGAUUGAUGGCAGUUUACAAAAUGCAGAAACUCGGUGUGUAUGUGUUAAUCUCUGAUAGGCUUAUCACUGUACUAAACUGCUUCCAUAAAUCGUAGGCUUAAUGCUGCUUUCAGGUACACCAACACACACCCAGUAACUCCUGGAGAAUUUUAAGAUAGAUAAAUUACAGCAAAAUUUGAUCCCUUGUAGUGUCAGUGUUUUUUUAAUGCUCAUCUUUUCAAUAGGUGGAACACAUAAACACUCGAGAUUGUCACUUACCAAAUUCAGCCUUGCUGGAAGGCAGCUGAAGAUACCCACUGAAUAUAGCUAGGAGGGGCAGAUUCCAUAAACCCAUUAUAUGGGGUGAUUUUAUGUGUCAUUCAUUGUGCCUGGGCUUGAGGUGUAUAUUUGCCUUGUUUUUACAGUAUAUGGCUGGUCAACUCAUAAUGCAUGUUGUACUCACAUUUGUGUAUAAAAUAUUAAGUUCACAGAGGAAAAAUAAGAACAGAAUUUACACUUCAUUCAUUUUUUCAUGUCUGCUGUUUCUGCACUCUCAAAAAUCAAAAUGCAUUUGUUGUAUCCUAAUCUACAUCAAGCUGUCCUGAAGGAACAUUCAUUAUUCUUUUAUUGUCAGCAAAACACAUUGAAACAAGGAUAUUAAACAUCUGGCCAACAUACAUUUAUGUGGCCCAAAUGGCAUAUUCAAGUUCUAAGAACGUAAGAAUUUCUUUGGAAACAAAAGUAGAUUUCCCUCUGACUUGGGAGAGAAGCUAUAAAAUAUGAGCUUGUAUAAAUAAAACAGUGUUCUCUACCUGAGACAAUGUGUAGCAUAAAAUAUUACCUGGGAAGUGCGAACUCCUGUCCUCUACCACUUAUCUCAUUUCAAGUCUAAUAGGGAACUUAGACUUUACUAGUUUGCUGCUAAGCCAGGGUGGUUGACAGAGAGACAAGCUUAGA
rnacentral:lncRNA from 1 species